rnacentral:tRNA from 1 species
GGGAUUGUGGCUCAGUGGUAGAGCACUCACCUAGCAUGUGUGAGGCCCUGGGUUCGAUCUUCAGCACCA